rnacentral:rRNA from 1 species
AUAUUCCAGUACCUUGCUUACACGUUAUUAUCUAUAUGAAUUGCUUCUAGAUAGGGGAUGUAGAACUGUCGUUUUAUCUAACUGUUUGAGAUUCGGGGAGUGUCGUAAUGACGAGAACCGAUUCGAGGCAGGAAUGGCUCUGCGUUAGCAGAGUUUUCUCAACUCUAGGGGACCAUGAAAGAUUAUGUAGAAAGUGUGAGCAAUGUUCGUACCGAGAACCGACACAGGUGCGCUGGCUUAGAAAGCUAAGGUGCUACGGGUAUACCGUAUGGCGAGGGAAUUCGGCAAAUUAGUCCUGUAGCUUAGGUAUAAGGGAUACCUGCUGUUUUAAUGAGGAAUUGGGACAGCAGGUUGCAAUGACUAGGGGGUUUCGACUGUUUAAUAAAAACACAGGCGACUGCUAGUCCGAAAGGAUUUGUAUAGUCGCUGAAUCCUGGCCGGUGCAGGUACCUAAAACUUGGGUUCAACCGAGCUAAGGGCCUGUUAACGCCGGGAGUAACUCUGACUCUCUUAAGGUAGCCAAAUGCCUUGUCGGGUAAGUUCCGACGCGCAUGAAUGGAACAACGAGAGCCCCACUGUCCCCGCCUACAACCCGGUGAAGCCACAUAAGGUGGACGAACAGUCCAUCAUCUUCCAUCGGGGAGAGAAGACCCCGUGGAGUUUUACUGCAGCUUGUACUUGCAGUAUAGUACGUAUUACAUAGUGUAUCUGGUAGCCAUGCCUGAAUUUCUUUGGGAAUUCAGUGAAGCGUCAAUGUAACACCAGAUUAUUCUUGCAGUACUUCUUAUCUGAUGCAAAUCAGAAACAGGUGCAGGUAGGCAGUUCGGCUGGGGCGGCACCCCUUUGAAAAGAUAUCAAAGGGGCCCAAAGUUUAGUUCAAACGGGUCAGAAAUCCGUUGAAGAGGGCAAAGCCAAAAACUAGACUGACAGGAUUUCCAAACGCACGGAAUUCUGAGACGAAAGUCUGGCUUAGCGAUCCUUCGUGUGCCCACUAUUGGGGCCCGGAGGUGACAGAAAAAUUACCCCAGGGAUAACAGGCUCGUCGCGGGCGAGAGCUCCUAUCGACCCCGCGGUUUGGUACCUCGAUGUCGGCUUUUCCUAUCCUGGUCCUGCAGCAGGGGCCAAGGGUGAGGCUGCUCGCCUAUUAAAAGGGAACAUGAGCUGGGUUUAGACCGUCGUGAGACAGGUCGGUCUCUGCCUGAUGGAAGCGCGGCUGUCUGAGGGGAAGUUGCUCUCAGUACGAGAGGAACAGAGCAACGUGGCCACUGGUCUACCGGCUGUCUGAUAAGGCAGGCCGGGCAGCUAAGCCGUUUGGAUUAAGUGCUGAAAGCAUCUAAGCACGAAACCCAUCCCGAGACAAGACAGCCUUUCGUAAGAUGAAGGUUCGCAGAAGAAGACUGCGUUGAUAGGAUGGAUGUGUAGAUCACAAGCUUCGGCGAGUGAUGAGCAUGCCAUUACUAAUAGACCAACACAUCAGC